rnacentral:sRNA from 1 species
AUUCUGCCCAAGCGGGGAAGGAUGAGAAGCUUCGACCAAGGUUCGACUUGAGCGCCAGCGAGAGAGCGUUGCCGCAGGCAACGACCCCAAGGGCGAAGCGCGCAGCGCUGAGUAAUCCUUCCCCCACCACCA